CUGAUAUCCCUGCCAUUGUUGAGUUGGUGCUUACACUGACACUUGUAUUGGGAUCAUUGGAGUCCUACGGCACUAUAACACAUAUCAUUGUUCCAUAGCUUCCACCUCUUUUUGGACCAUGAGUGAAGCCCAAAACCAAGAUCAGUACCUCGGUCCUUUGAGACUUAGGUCACGGGUUAUAGAAAGAGGAAUAAGUGGACCUGGUCAAAGAGAAGACAAAAAUGAAUCCCCAAUGCCUCUCCGGGAAAGAAGAGAAAGACGAUGCCAUGAUCCUCCGCCGUGUGGAAGAGCUGAGGAAAGCAGGCAACGGAGUCGAUCUCCACGAUCUUCAGCUAGACCCUCCCAACCAUCAGGAAUGGGCAAUGAUAGGAGAAGCAGCAGGAAUACUGUCCAUGAAGCUUCCCGGACCAAACAUGGACCAUCAGAGGGGGAAGCUUCUAUCCCAGUGCCUGCUGCCCCUGAGCCCAGGUCUAGUGAGCCAUUGCCAAACCACCGACUACCACCAAGGGUGGCCAAGAGAAUUAAGAGAAUAGAAGGCCUCCCUUCUCACCCUUUCACACAUAAUGAUGAAUUAACAUCUUGUCCUAUCUGUAUGGAGCCAUAUGUCAUUGGAGAGCAAGUAACCUCUCUUCCUUGUAAUCAUAUAUACCAUUGGGGUUGUCUAGCACCAUGGCUCCGUACCAGCCCCAGAUGCCCCUUGUGCAGGCGCCAUUGUUUCAAUUGAAACAGAAGGAAAAUAUCAAGAGACUUGGACUGCAAUGCAGGACCCAGGGCCAAAGUAAGCUACAAAACUACAAAAAGACGACCUAUGACCAUCCUGACAUCUGUUCAUGAGGUUAAAGGGGUUAUCCAGGAAUGGAGAAACACUUUUCAACAGAGCAAGCAGAGAAAGAGAGGGACAAUCUGUGAGAGAUCCGUGUUCAAAGAGUGUCCGCAGCAGCUGAGAGGAAUCUGCCAGCAGGUUGAACAAGAUCCAGUGCUGGUAGCAGGAAAGCCUACGUGAGCAGUGAAGGGAACUUGAAGCUGGACUGACGUGAUUUACAUCCUAUGAGAGGGUUAACCUGAAACCUUUCUUUCCUGCUCUAUAACAAGGCACCCUGAACUCGCAUACCGAUAAUGAUCUUGUAUAAAGUUCCAUACACAAUGUCUCGGGAUGUCUUGGAAACUGUUAGUAUUGUGCAAAGAAAU